AAACUGUAUGUAUAUAAAGGUCAUUCCUGGUCAAAAUCUCAUCAAAAGGUAUUAGAGCAGUUUGCUUCCAACUGGAGCCAAAAACGACCAGCAAUGCAGCCUGCUGGAGAAAUUGAAUCCAGUUGAGGUAGGAAGACUGGCACAUUAGAGGGAUUUACCACUGAAGCAGAGCUAAAGAGAUGCUGUGGAAUAACGAAAAGGAAACACAGCCUGUAAUCAGCUUAUGUGGAAAUAAAUGGCAAAUUGUGGAAACGUGAUCCUUUAUGCACACUCCCUCCUCCUGUCCCAGGCAGUGGCUGUAGGUAUUAAAAGAGACAAGGCAAGUAAAAGCUACAAACUCUCUGCUCAUAAGUAAGAAAUAAAUGAUAAUUUGGGGUCACCCCCAAGACAAUGUCAUUAGAGGGUAUUGUGUUUGAGGCCUUGAGAACUGAGGGGAAAUCUAAAAUUAGAAAUAAUACUGUUUCAGUUUCCCAGAAUAUCAAAAAAGCCAUUUUUUUUAGUACUGAAGUGGAUAGGAAACUAUUCACUACUACACAGGAGAACUCAGGAGAAUCGGGUUUUAAGACACAGAGAAAUUUGAUAUUAAGAAGUUCUGGCAAAUUCAACCUGCUGGACUUCUGAGCAGUCAGUAGCUUCUUCCAAAACUGCAGCUCCAGCUUUGCCUUCCUCCUUACUCUACUUUUGCCUCUCCAUAUUAAUAUUUUCCUCUCCCACAUCAGCAUUUGAACCUGGAUGUGACCCCUAAUUUUUGGCUUGUUACUACUCACAAUGUGCUGUGAGUGCAUCAUAGUCUUACCACACUGCAGGUAGAGACAGGACAGAAAUUGGAAUUCAGACUAGAAGAAUGGAAGAAAAAAGUAUUUUUGAGGAAGAAAUAUAAAAGGAAACCCACUAAAAAGUUAAACGGCAUAUCAAAAGCCAAUAGAUGGAUAUUUUUCCCCUUCUAGGGAAAAUUAGGAAAGGGUAAAUUUUCCUAGAGAAAAAUGUGUGUGUGUGUAUGUGUGCCUGUGUAUAUGUGUAUGUAUCUGUGUGUGUGUGUGAGUGUGUGUGUGUGUGUGUUGUGUGUGUGUGUAAAUUUGACCUAGCAGAGUACCAUGACUCCUCUCAUUUACCAGAAGGGCCCAAGAUUUUAUUUUUUUUUGGGGGUUUUUUUUUUUUUUGUCUGCUUGUUUUUGCUAUUGAGAAAGGAAGGCAAUAGAAUUUACAAAGAACCUAAGAAGAUUAGUUGUUUUCAUGGGCUUCAUAGACAGGCUUUGUAAAGGAACAGUUCUUGAGAGAAGAAAUAUGUACUUGAAUUUAAUAUUUAAAUGCAUGAUAGACGGAAGAAGAGGAGUUCACUCCAAGAAGGUUCAGGGCCCUCGUGUACACACAUCUCCUGGUGACUUGUUCUGUUAUUUCAGGUUAGUGGACAGAACUGUAGCAAUUCCUUUGUAGGAGAAAAUCCUACCAGGCUUGGAUUUUUAACAGUCCUGCUGUAAGAUUUCCUAAUCACUUACCCCAACACAUUUUCCAAAACUUAUAGAAAUUCUGUUCAACAUCCAGAUCUCAGGAGCAUCAUUCCUGUGGUGUUGAAGAGGGUUUCAAGCUUAGUGAGAAAGGUCUACAAGAGUUUAAGGCUUAGGAUAACCUGUGAACAAGGUCAGGAAUAAAAACAGUAUGGCCUACAAAAGCAAAGAUAUAAAGUCUUCCCCCAUCUCUGGAAGAAGUUCAUAUAUAGUAAACUCUCCCUGAGGCAGGAGGGUUGAAAUGUGUCUGAGCACAACAGCCAGUGGAAAAGAAUAUCUCCUUCCAUUAUUAUAUUGGGCAUUGUUAUUUUUUGUGUGAUUAGACAUGCCUCUGACCCAUUAGAAUGACAAAGUGCAAACAGAGCCUCAGAGGGGUGUCCUCAGGUAUAACUGUGAGAAUUGCCCGGGAAACAGCCUCAGAGCUCCAAGGCAACAGAUUUUCAUUCAUUCAGCAAGUGUUUAUUGGGUGCUUACCAGGUACUAGACUGUUCUAGAUGCCUCAGAUACGUUUGUAAAUAAAACAGACAAAAAUCCCUACAUUCAGAGAGCUUCCAUUCUAUUGGAAAGAGACAUAAAGUAAACAAUAAACACAUGAAAUAAGCAAAGUAUAUAAUAUAUGAAAUGAUACAAAGUAUGGGAGAAAAAAAAGCAGGGAAAAGGGAUUCGAAGUGGAAGCGGAUUGCAAUUUUAAAUAGGGUAACAGUUGAGCAAAGAUUUGAAAGAUGACGGGAACUGAGCUUGAGGCUAUCUAGUGCAAGAACAUUUCUGGCAGACGGAACAGUCAGGCGAGGAACUGAAACUGCUUUAUGCCUGGAAUGUUCCAGGAGUUGUUUGGAGUGAAACUGAGGGAGGGACCGAGCAGUAGGAAAUGAGGUCAGAGAGGAAAAAUACACAAGACCUCACAAGCAUCAUGAGAUUGUUCACUGACACGAAUAAAAUAGGGAACUUUUGGGAGAUUUUGAGCAUAGGAGUGACAUGAUCUGACAUGUUUUUAAAGCACCAUUCUGAUUGCUGUCUUGGGAAAAGACUGUAACAGGGCAAGGGCAGAAGCAGUGAGACAGGUAGGUCACUGUUGCAGUCAGCCAGGCAUGACAAGACGCAGGCUAGCACUAGGGUAGCAGCACAGAGGUGGUAGGAAGUCUACAUCCUAUGUAUAUUUUAAGACAGAACAACCGGGCACAGUGGCUCACGCCUGUAA